AACAGCAAGGGUCAAGGGUGCACACAUCUGCUGUCACUUGUACUCCAUCUUGUGCAGCCCCUCGUUCAGUUUCAGGUUCUGCAAAAACAAAUUGAUGCAAAAGGCAAAACUGUGAGUUCCAAUCAGUCCAACUCCUAUGCUGCAGCCCAGAGGAUGACAAGUAAGAUUGAGUGUUUUAUGUGUGGUGGUCAUGAGCAUAAGCAAGCUGAAUGCCCCAAUAGGCAUGCUAUUAUAGGACUUGCUGAUGGUUCUUAUGAUUCUCAGAGUGAAAAGGAGGGCGAGACUAAUACUAUAGCAUUUGCAGAUGAUACUCUUGACACUUGUGAGUAUCAAGCAGAGGAUGGUGAAUAUGAGUUAGGCUUGAAUUGUUUGGCCAUUCAAUCUAUUCAAGAUUUUGCUCAAGAUGACUUAUCCCAAGCUGUUGUUCCUCUGCAUCCAGAAGAGAUCACUAAUGGUGAUUUUGAUGAGUUACUUGCUGAUUUCAAUGAUUUGGAAGAUUCUAGUUCUUCACAACAAGAUUGUGCAUUUCAACCUGCUACUAAUUCAACCUCGUGUGCUUAUAUUGUGAGUACACUAGAUCAUGCUUUGGUGGUUCGGCGAGUUCUUUCGAUUCAAUUAGUUGCAGCUGAGCAAGGGCAGUGCCAUAAUUUGUUUCAAUCAUGAUGCAAAGUGAAAGGACAAGUUUGUAGAUUCAUAAUUAAUGGUGGGAGCUGCAACAAUAUUGUUAGUGAUGUGCUUGCUGAGAAGCUUGGCCUGCAAACACGUCGCCAUCCACACCCAUAUCAUAUGCAAUGGUUGAAUAAUUCAGGGACAGUGAAGGUUUCGUCCAUGGUGCGCUUUUCAUCCUCAAUUGGUGACUAUCAUAGCGAGGUUGACUCUGAUAUUGUUCCUAUGCAAGCAUGCCACUUACUUCUGGGUCAUCCAUGGCAAUUUGAUGUGGAUUCGGUGCAUUUUGGUCGGUCCAACAAAUACACAUUUAUUCACAAAGAGAAGAAGGUGGUUCUUGUUCCAUUAUCUCCAGAAGGAAUAUAUUCUUCAGAUGUUGCUCGCAUGAAAAGAGAGGAGAGUGAGAAAAGAAAAUUAUGUGAGACCCACAAAAAUAGUAAGGGAGAGACUUCUAAACCAUCCAGCCACAUAAAGCCUCUUGCAAAUACAAAAUUGCCACAACAAAAUGAGUGUUUAUUUGUGAGCAAGAGAGAUUUGAUAGAAGUGAGGAACACAACAACCCCAUUCUUUGUGCUCCUGCACAAGGAGGUCAACCUUUCGACUAACGACUUACCUUCCUCGCUACCUAGUGUCGUUCUUGAUCUAUUGCAGGAUUUUGAGGACGUUUUUCCCGAUGAGGUGCCGGCUCGACUUCCUCCGCUACGUGGCAUUGAGCACCAAAUUGUACCUGGUGCUUCUCUUCCAAAUCAUCCAGCCUACCGCACCAAUCCCAAAGAAACAAAAUAAAUUCAGCGACAAGUAAAAGAGCUUUUGUACAAAGGGUUGAUGACGAGAAGAUUAAAGCAAUAAAGUAUUGGCCUAUACCAGAAAAUGUGAGCCAAGUUCAAAGUUUCCAUGGUCUUGCUGAUUUUUACCAGCGAUUUGUUAAAGAUUUCAGCACCAUCACUGCACCCCUUAACAAUCUGACAUAGAAGGAUGUUCCAUUCAAGUGGGGAGAUGAACAAGACCAAGCUUUCAACGAGUUGAAAAGAAUGCUUUGUGAAGCACCACUGCUACAACUACCAGAUUUUGGUAAGACCUUUGAGAUCGAGUGUGAUGCAAGUGGUAUUGGCAUAGGAGGUGUGCUACUUCAAGAAGGUAAACCUGUUGCCUACUUUUCUAAAAAGUUAAAUGGUCCACAUCUGAACUACUUUGUAUAUGACAAAGAGCUUUAUGUCUUAGUCCGAGUUUUGGAAGUUUGGCAACAUUAUUUAUUACCUAAAGAAUUUGUAAUCCAUUCUGAUCAUGAAGCUUUGAAAUAUCUCAAAAGCCAAGGCAAACUGAACCGUGGACAUGCGAAAUGAAUUGAGUUCAUUGAAACAUUCCACUAUGUUGUAAAACAUAAGCGUGGUAAGGAUAACAUUGUUGCCGAUGCUUUGUCAAGAAGAUGUGCUUUCGUUACACAGCUAGAUACAAAAGUGAUUGGUUUGGAAUCGAUUAAAACACUUUAUGCUGAUGACUCUUAUUUUAAAGAACCUUUCUCUAAUCGCAUUGCUGGAAAAGGAUGGGAUAAAUUCUACAUGCAUGAUGGAUUCUUAUUUCGGACUAACAAAUUAUGCAUUCCAGCUUGCUCGAUUUGUACUAUUCUUUUGUAGGAAGCACAUGCUGGUGGGUUAGCUGGUCAUUUUGGUGUAAAAAAAGACAUUGGACAUGCUUUCAUAUCAUUUCUUUUGUCCACAUAUGAGACGUGAUGUCCAACGACAUGUUGAGCGUUGCAUAAUCUGCUUGAAAGCUAAGUCCCGCCUUAAUCCCCAUGGUCUAUAUACUCCAUUACCAAUUCCAAAUAUACCUUGGGAAGAUAUAUACAUGGAUUUUAUUCUUGGGUUACCUCGGUCUCAGAGGGGAGGGAUUCUAUUUUUGUUGUUGUUGAUCGCUUCUCUAAGAUGGCACAUUUUAUUCCAUGUCAUAAGAGCGACGAUGCUUCACACUUUGCUGCCUUGUUUUUCAGGAAGAUAGUUCGUUUACAUGGAGUGCCGAAGACUAUUGUUUCAGACCGGGAUACAAAAUUUCUGAGGUAUUUUUGGAAGACAUUAUGGGGUAAACUUGGCACAAAGUUGCUAUUUUCAACCACUUGUCACCCACAAACUGAUGGGCAAACUGAAGUUGUCAACCGUGCCCUCUCUACAAUGCUGUGUGCUGUGCUGAAAAAGAAUUUGAAGAUA